rnacentral:misc_RNA from 1 species
GUGAAUCAUCAAAUUUUUGAACGCAAAUUGCACUCCCUGGUAUUCCGAGGAGUAUGCCUGUUUGAGGGUCGCUAGAAUAAAAAAUCGAUGCGUCGCGCUUUUUGUUAUGGGUGGUCGCGUCGGAAUUGAGCCGACAUUCAAGUGUUAAUUCAUGUCAAAGUGGCUUGAAAUUCAUCCGUCCGGUACGCUUGAAACGUAUUUAAGAUAAAUUUU